GUGCUCACUUCGGCAGCACAUGUGUUUAAAACUGGAACGAUACAAAGAAGAUUAGCAUGGCCCCUGAGCAAGGAUGACAUGCAAAUUCAUGAAGCAUUCCAUAUUUUU
ensembl:snRNA U6 U6 spliceosomal RNA